rnacentral:lncRNA from 1 species
GGUGGUUCUACGUAAAAUACUACGUAUGACAUAAUACUGUGUAUAUAUAUAUAUAUUUGUGUGUGUGUCGUGUGAAUUACAAUGCCAAAAUAUAAGUACAUGCUAUGCGUAUAUGUGUGUCUAUGAGCGGAUGUUUAUAGCAAUGUGAAUAUCUGAGCAUGUAUGUAUCAACACGUACGAAUCUCUGAGUGGCCAGAUCGGUCGGUGAAUAUUUUGUUGAACAAUGAACAAAACGUAAGAGGCGAAACAGACAGAGACACCUCGAGAGAUCAGCGGACAUCAAAUGGUGGAUAAUGGAUUUAAGCUGCAGCUUCGGAUAUCGCGGUAAGUUUUGAUCGUUCGAUCAUCUCCACAACACAUCGCAUACCAACCGACCGACCUACCUACCUAACUACGUACCUAACUAUCAACCUACCUGCCUACCUACCUACCUACCUACCUACCUACCUACCUACCUACCUACCUACCUACUUACCUACCUGCCUACCUACUUACCUACCUACCUAUCUACCUACCUACCUACCUACCUAUCUACCUACCUACCAACCUACCUAUCUACCUACUUACCUACACACCUUCUUACCUACCUACCUACCUACUUACCUACCUAUCUACCUACCUACCUACUUACCUACCUAUCUACCUACCUACCUACCUACCUACCUACCUGCCUACCUACUUACCUACCUACCUACCUACCUACCUACUUACCUACCAACCUACCUACAUACCUACCUACUUACCUACCAACCUACCUACUUACCUACUUACCUACCUACUUACCUACCGAUCUACCUAUCUACCUACAUACCUACCUACCUAUUCAUCUAUUUGUUUGUCUCUCUUCUGUCUAUGUAUGUAUGCAUAUAUGUAUGUAUGCAUGUUUGUUUGUUUGUAUGUAUGUAUGUGUGCAUCUAUGAAUGUGUAUGUAUGUAUGUAUGUAUGUAUGUAUGUAUGUAUGUAUGUAUGUAUGUAUGUAUGUAUGUAUCUAUCUAUCUAUCUCUAGCUAUCCAUCUGUUUAUGUAAAUAUGUAUAAGUAUGCAUACAUAGUACAUAAAUAAAUGCACCCUUUUAAAGCCUAGCCAGGCUCAUGGGCCCAGUUUCCUGGUUUCUAUGGCAUAUGUGUUCCCCAGCCGAACUUGACGCCAGUCCAUCGCAGCGUUACUCAUUUUUUGCCAGCUGAGUGGACUGGAGCAACGUGAAAUGAAGUGUUUUGCUCAAGAACACAACGCGUCGCCCGGUCCAGGAAUCGAAACCAUAAUCUUACGAUCAUGAUGCUGACACCCUAACCACUAAGCCACGCGCCUCCACUACAUACAUAUAUACAUACAUACAUACAAUACAUACAUACAUACAUACAUACAUACAUACAUACAUACAUACAUACAUACAUAUAACUAUUUAAAUAAACAUGCGUAUAUAUAUAUAUAUAUAUAUAUAUAUUCAAAUAUGAAUUAGACUAGCUCGAGCUAUAUAAACAAGAUUGAACAAACAUACACAAAGUGUGUGUAUUUGCUUUUGUUUAUAUUUAUAUACAGUGAGAGAGAGAGAGAGAGAGAGAGAGAGAGAGAGAGCGAGACAGACAGACAGAGGGAAGAAGAGAGUGAGUGAGGAGAUAGACACACAUACACAGACAGAGACCGACAAACAUAGAAACGCGUAAUGAUAAGUCCUAGUUUACUAUUCAGCAGAAAAUAGCGAAGUCUCUUAAAAUAAAGCACAAUGAUAGACUCUUCGCAAGUUUUGACGAAACAAAAUUAUUUCUGUUGGAUCGUUUUGUAAUACACUACAUUUCAUUGUAUAUAUAUAUAUAUAUAUAUAUAUAUAUAUAUAUAUAUAUAUAUAUAUAUAUAUAUAGAUAUAUAUAUAUAUAUUUGUAUGUGCAAUUAUAUAUAUGUAUAUAUCUUUAGAGUGUAUAGACAAUUUAUAUAUGUUUGUACGUAACUAAGUAAAGAUCUGCAUAUGUGUGUAUUUUAAAAUCCAUAACACAUUCAGUUGGUUAUCAGUGAUCGUUUAGUUUGCCCGUAUUGUACCUUGACCCAUAAUAAAAAUUAAUGAUGUUUCCUUUCUUUAGUUCAUACCGAUCCAUUAAACAGUCGUUAAUUAUGGAAUGCUCCCACUGUAAAAUUUAAAAUUUUCUCUUCUCUUUGACGUAUUUCAAGUGAAGAAAUCACUCUCAUCCUAAUGUAAGUGUUUUGUCCAUGGAUACUUCACAUCGAUAUAGAAGACUGCAGGAUUACCAAUAGGAGGCGCAAUGGCCCAGUGGUUAGGGCAGCGGACUCACGGUCGGAGGAUCGCGGUUUGUGUGUGUUUAUUGAGCGAAAACACCUAAAGCGUCACGAGGCUCCGGCAGGGGGGGGCGACCCCUGUUGUACUCUUUCGCCUCAACAUUCACUCUCUCUUCCUCUUUCUUGAGUAACGCUGCGAUGGACUGGGUCGGGGGGAACACUUACGCCAUAGAAACCGGGAAACCGGACCCAUGAGCCUGGCUAGGCUUGAAAAAGGCUCGUAAAUAAGAAAAAUGGAUUACCAAUACUUCAUUUUGUGGCCUAAUUUGGGUAUCUCCGGCUUACUCAAGCUACCUUCGGCUACGUCCGGCUACCACUGUCUGUCUUCGGCUCUAUUUUCAAAUUAAUGAUACUAAGAAUAUAUUACUCUCCUUAUUUGUAUUUAAGAUUCUAAUUUUUUUUUUAUCCUACGGAAGCGGAAAUAUAGAUCUGCAGCUGUUCCAGUCAACAUUCUGCUGUUUAAGUGUCUAUGUUUUGUUUUAAAAUUGUCUCUCUAUAUCUUAUAUCUACUGCCAGAAGUUCUUCCUGUCGCCAAUCCCUACUCGCUUCCACAUAAGUCAUUUUUUCCGGUAGGAUUUAGAGAUAUGAACGCAUAAUGCACAAAUAUGCAACAGUGAUACCACUUUAAUGUCAACAAUAGGCCUAGGAAUGGCUGUGUGGUAAGUAACUUGCUUACGAACUACAUAGUUCCUGGUUCGGUCCCACUACGUGACACCUUCGGCAAGUGUCUUCUGCUAUUUCCUAGGGUUGACCAAAGCCUUGUGAGUGGAUUUGGUAUAUAUAUAUAUAUAUACACACAUAUACAUAUGUAUAUGUAUAUAUAUAUAUAUAUAUAUAUAUAUAUAUAUAUAUACAUAUGUGUGUGUGUCUGUGUGUGUCUGUGUGUGUCCCCAACAUAACUUGACAACCGAUGCUGGUGUGCUUACGUCCCCGUAACUUGGCAGUUCGGCUAAAGGGACCCAUAGAAUUAGUUCUAGGCUUACAAAGAGUAAGUCCUGGGGUCGAUUUACUCGACUAAAGGUGGUACACCAGCAUGGCCACAGUCAAAUGACUGAAACAAGUAAAAGGUGCUAUCCAAUGGGACUCAACUCGGAACCAUGUGGUUGUGAAGCAAGUUUCUUACCACACAGCAACGCCUGCGCCAAUAUAGGUGGCUGUGUGGUAAGAAACAUGCUUCACAACCACAUGGUUCCGAGUUCAGUCCCAUUGGAUAGCACCUUUUACUUGUUUCAGUCAUUUGACUGUGGCCAUGCUGGUGCACCGCCUUUAGUCGAGUAAACCGACCCCAGGACUUAUUCUUUGUAAGCCUAGUACUUAUUCUAUCGUAUGUAUACGUUCGUGUGUCUGAUUUUGCCUACCGCCCCCACCAUCCAUUGCUUCACACCCAAUGCUGGUGUGUUUACAUCCCCGUAACUUAACGGUUCGGCAUAAGAGACCGAUAUAAUAAGUACAAGGCUUACAAAGAGGAAGUCCUGCAGUCGAUGCGUUCGACCAAAGGUGGCGCUCCAGCAUGGCCGCAGUCAAAUGACUGAAACAAGUAAGAGAAUAAACGAAAGGAAUAAAAGAACAUACUUAUAAUUAUUAUCAUUAUUAUUAUUAUUAUUAUUAUUAUUAUUAUUAUUAUUAUUAUUAUUAAUAAUAUGAUUGCUUUGGUUCAGCUUUGGUCUUAUUCUUAGUAGGUUUUACGUGGGUAGCGUGUUACUACAUGUAACCUUAGGGAUCCAUAAGUUUUCAGAAGUCUUUGAAGUGUUUAGGACCCCACUGAUAAUUCUUGCUGUCCCUUUGAAGACAAACCUUCGGUAGGAGAUCUACCGGACAUUCUAUUUCAAUUUACUUCAGCCAUUAGUCUGUAUCUUGCCCUACUGUUCCCAACGCAUCAAUUAUUAUGGGCACGACCUUUACAGGUCGCAUGUUCAAAAUUCUUCCAAUUUCAGAUUUUUCUUCCUCUUUCUUUCCGAUCGUUAUCAUCCUCCUCAUCCUCAUCAUCAUCAUUAUUAUUAUUUUUAUUAUUAUUAUUAUUAUUAUUAUUAUUAUUAUUAUUAUUAUUAUUAUUAUUAUUAUCAUCAUCAUCAUCAUCAUCAUCAUCACAUCAUCAUCAUCAUCACCAUCAUCAUCAUCAUCGUCGUCAUCAUCAUCAUCAAUAUUAUUAUUAUUAUUAUUAUUGAUUGAGAGAGCAGUGCAUGCCAUCAAAGUGACACUGGGGUAAAAUAUACGAAGCCCAGUAUACCCAUCAUGACUACCCGUCUGAUAAGUGUACACCAGGCACAUGCAUCACAACCAUAUGUGCGUGACAUGGUGAUCUCAUAUCAAGAUAAACAGCACAUGACCUUGCAGGUGGGGCCCAGUUAGAAUUUUCUUCAGGUUGAGUAGCCCAUCCCGCUCAAAAGGUCCCUGAAUAAGGGUUGUUUAAGGAUGUUGAAAGAACCACCCAUGUUUCCAGAGGUGAAUUAUUCAAACCCCAAAGAAUCCCUCUCAACACAUGGCUAUGAUGCUCCCCCACUACUUCUGCUCGUGAUCAGAGAUGCACAUAUCGUCAGCCACUAAGGGACAUGCUCAACUGGUUAAGGUCAAGCAACUGACAAGCAAAUCUGUGGUAUUGAGCAGAAUAUUUGCUGUAGCCCAUCUUUUAUACCAAGACAAAACAAUGUACAUGAUAACACUUCCAAUCAGUUAAGAUCAGAAGCCAUGAGAGCCACUGCCUGGUACUGCAUAUUAUUAUUAUUAUUAUUAUUAUUAUUAUUAUUAUUAUUAUUAUUAUUAUUAUUAUUAUUAUUGUUAUUAUUAUUAUUAUCAUUUUUAUUAUUAUUGAGUGCGAUAUCAGUGCAUACCAGCUCAGUGACCCUGAGGUAAUAUAUACGAAGCCCAUCUUUUAUACCAAGACAAAACAAUGUACAUGAUAACACUUCCAGUCAGUUAAGAUCAGAAGCUAUAAGAUCCACUGUAAGGUAUUGCAUCAGAGCAUUUAUUGCUACCCUCCUCCUCCUCCUCCUCAUCAUCAUCAUCAUCAUCAUCAUCAUCAUCAUCAUCAUCAUCAUCAUCAUCAUCAUCAUCAUCAUUGUUAUUAUUAUUAAUAUUGAGUGACAGAGCAGUGCAUGCCAUCAAAGUAACAAUGGGUUAAAAUCUACGAUGUCCAAUGUACCCAUCAUGACUCCCCGGCUAAUAAGGGUACACCAGACACAUGCACCACAACCGUAUGAGCGUUAUAUGAUCUCAUAUCAAGAUAAAAAAAAAACGCGUGAUUUUGUUAGUUUCCAUUUGACACACUGCGGUCGCACUGCGAUAGAAUUGAAACAAUUUUUUAUUAUCAAACAUUUUUAUUAUCAUCGUCGUCGUCAUCAUCAUCAUCAUCAUCAUCAUCAUCAUCAUCAUUAUUAUUAUUAUUAUUAUUAUUAUUAUUAUUAUUAUUAUUAUUAUUAUUAUUGUUAUUCUAUGUUUGACUUUUGCGUUACAUUUGCACAAGCUGGCUCCAAGUCUCACCCAGAGACCUCAAGAGACAACAAGUUGGAAGUUCGUGUUGGUGUUAUGCCUAGGGUGCCAUAUAUUUGGUUUUGUACUUAGUGUUGUACUAGUGAAUGCCUAAAAAACCAUACGAAAAUUGUGUUUGUUUUAAAACUUGAGAUUACAUAGAAAGUAUUUUGCGUAGGAUAUGAGCAGUUCCCAUGAGCACUAUCUUUUGGCAUUUUUGAGUUUCCUGGUAUCUGCGUUAGGUAGCAAUCAGCCCCUUUUGCUAUCAUUCCCAGGGCACCUAUGACUACAGGUAUUGUUUUAGUCUUCAGGUUCCACAUUUUGCUGAUUUCUAUUUCAAGAUCUUUAUAUUUGCUCAGUUUUUGGUAGGUCUUGACAGAUACGUUUAUAUCGAUUGGGACAGUCAUAUCAAUGAGGAGGCAUGUUCUUUGUUUGAAGUCUUUCAAUAUGAUGCCUGGCCUAUUUGCAUCUAUCUUUCUGUUAAUUUGAAUGGUGAAGUUCCAGAGGAGUGAGAUGUGGUCAUUUUCAAGCACUGGAGGUGGUUUGUGUUCCCACCAAUUUUUUUUAUGGUGCAAGUCCAGGCUUGUGAAAAUUACCCAGUGAAUAUAUUGUGCAGCUCUAUCAUGCCUGUUGAAGUACUCUGUAGGCGCGAGAAGACUGCACUUGGAGACAAUAUGAUCAAUGGUUUCAUUUUGUUGUUGACAUACUCGAUAUGUUGGGCGACUGACGUUCUUUAAUAUGUUGGCCUGGUAGUUCCUUGUAGGUAGGCAUUGAUCUUGAGCUGCCAGGAUAAACCCCUCUGUUUCAGAUUUUAAGCCAGAGGCCAUUAGCUAUUGAUGGGUGAGGGCUUUGUCAACAUCUGCAUUAUUCGCUUUCUUUGGGUACUUGCCAUUGAGAGGUUUUUCUUGCCAUUUAUCAUUCAGAAUAUCUAAGGCCGCAGAUUUAGCACGGGUUUUCAUGCGCUUAGCUUUUUCUGUGCCUGUUUCUUGUAUGUCUAUCUCUAAUUCCGAAAUUUGUUUUAUUCAGAAUUCACUUAGAUAUUCCUUUGCCUGUUUUGUUACUGAGUAUGAUACUUUCUUGUGUUCAUGUUUUGAGACAAGUUUUAACAUCCAGUCCCCAGAGGUUUUGCAGGUAGGUGUCUAAGCCAAUUGUAGCAAUCUUCAUUGUUAUUGCCAGUUGCAAAAGACCACGGCCUCCCUCUUUUCUUGGCAGAUAAAGUCGUUCUGUAUCUGCCAUAGGGUGGUGCAUUCUAUGCAUUGUCAACGGUUUUCGUAUUUUUCUGUCAAGAUUACAUAUUUCAGUAAUUGACCAGUUAACGAUAUUGAAACAGUAAGUCACGACUGGUAUGGCUAAAGUAUUGAUCACUUCGAUCCUGUUUCUCGCAUUGGCGUUGCUCGGAUUUGUUUUCUUUUCGACCCUUUAGAAUUGGAAUUUUUGAAAAGUAAAACUUUUGCAUUAUGUAGUUUGUUAUUCUCUUUAGGUGGCGACACAGUAGUCAAAAAAUUGUAAAAUAACUAGGGAUUUUCAUAGAAAAAAACACCAAAUAUAAUUUUUGGUUUUAAUAAGGUCAAAUUUUAAUUUUUUGUUCUAUGGAAUGAAGAGCAAGCCUUUUUCUAUCAUACUCUCAAUUUUGGUCAACUUUCGCCGCAAGGUCUCGGAGGAGAUAGUGUUAGUUGAAGGCUACCAAACCUGCCACACACACACAGACAACUCCAGGUUUAUAUAUAAAGACUACAUGCAAUUUCAUUCGUUUCCAUGCAACUUAAGCUUCAAACAGUUUUAAAUACUAUAUAUAACUCCUAGUUUUCAAACCGUUUUAAAUAGUAUAUCUAUCUCAAGUGUGUGUGUGUGUGUGUGUGUGUGUGUGUGUGUUUCUAUUUGUGUGUGUGUAGUGUGUGUGUGCGUGUGUGUACGUGCGUGUAAUCACUCAUAUAUAUGCACACAUAAUUACAGUCCAUGUACGUAAGGCAGCGAGCUAGCAGACACGUUAGCACGCCGGACAAAAUGCUUAGCGGCAUUUCAUCCGUCUUUAGGUUCUGAAAUCGUAUUCUGCCGGUGUUGACUUUACCGUUCAUCCUUCCGGGGUCGAUAAAGUAACUACCAGACGACUCUGACCCUACCCCAAAUUUCCUUGCCUUGUGCCAAAAUUUGAAAUCCAUAUUUCAUGUAUGCAUUUCUCUGGUCCAUUCACACGAUUGAUUUCUCUAUAGAAUGGUACAAGCAUUAACGCAAAACCCAGCGGAAAGAUCUGAGUCGCAACAUGAAUUUUCUAUCGAUUUUGUGUACGUUUAUGAAUCUUUCUAUUAACCAGCGUUACAAAUGUAGCGGAGCGAUACCUGCUCGAAAAAAAAAUAAUACAUAUAUUGGCUGUGCGGUAAGUAGCUUGCUAACCAACCACAUGGUUCCGGGUUCAGUCCCACUGCGUGGCAUCUUGGGCAAGUGUAUUCUGCUAUAGCCCCAGGCCGACCAAUGCCUUGUGAGUGGAUUUGGUAGACGGAAACUGAAAGAAGCCUGUCGUAUAUAUGUAUAUAUAUGUAUUUAUGUGUGUUUGUUUGUGUGUCUGUGUUUGUCCCCCCUAGCAUUGCUUGACAACCGAUGCUGGUGUGUUUACGUCCCCGUAUCUUGGCGGUUCGGCAAAAGAGAACGAUAGAAUAAGUACUGGGCUUACAAAAGAAUAAGUCCCGGGGUCGAGUUGCUCGAUUAAAGGCGGUGAUCCAGCAUGGCCGCAGUGAAAUGACUGAAACAAGUAAAAGAGUAAAAGAGUAAAAGAGUAAAGAGAUAUGCAUAUGAAAGAACGUCUGUAGAAAAACGGGGAAAAGGGAAGUUUUCGCGAACCAUAUCUUAUUUUUGUUGCUGAGAACCAGCUAAGUUGAUCCAUUUACGACGGGCUUCCCCAGCCAAAGGACUAUAAAACAUCUCGCAAAGAAUGAAGAAAUUUUGAAGUUUCAUUGACGUUUGCUAUCUGCUGAGUGUCUUUACAUUAUAUACAUACAUACAUACAUACAUAUAUAAUACAUAUAUACAUACAUACAUAUAUAUACAUAUACAUAUAUAUAUAUAUACAUAUAUAUAUAUAUAUGUAUAUGUAUAUAUAUAUAUAUACAUACAUAUAUACAUAUAUAUAUAUAUAUAAUGUAAAGUAUAGAAGCCAUCUUAUCAUGGCUAACCACAUUGGGGAGGGGGUGUUACUGUAGCUUUAUAGCCCCAAGAGAUCUUCGUCUCUAGCUGGCUUUAGACACAAUAUGUCAGCUAGAGACGAAGAUCUCUUGGGGCUAUAAAGCUACAGUAACACCCCCUCCCCAAUGUGGUUAGCCAUGAUAAGAUGGCUUCUAUACUUUACAUUAUCGAGCGAUUACUGUUUCAAUCUCAUUCUGAGAUUUAAUUAUGCUAUAUAUAUAUAUAUAUAUAUAUAUAUAUAUAUAUAUAUAUAUACAUAUAUAUAAGCAUUUUUUGUGUAAUAAGAUAAAAAAAACAAGGCUGUGUAGAUAUUAGAACAUUUAUAGAUAGGUCUUACAGCUGUUUUUAGGAUAUCUAUUAAUAAUAUCCCUUCAUCGGAGACGGUGUGAGAGUCAUAGUUAGUUUAGAUGCGAUACAAAAUAGAGUGAGGUGGAGGAAAGAAAAUAGAUGCAAGAUAUGUAUGGGUAUUGAAGUUGUAAAUCCGUUUUAUAGGCAUAAUGGUAUACAUGCAAUAUUCCAAUAUCCUAUGAGUAAUGUCCAAAAGUCCAACAGAGCUUAAUAUGAUUUCUUCCAAAUAUAGAGCUUAUAAGCAAUGUAAGAUUCCCUUAGGAGUGAGAUCCAGCAGAUUUUUAAACUUGGUUAUUCCCAGUAGGGAAUUUAUGUACAGUGUUGUAGAGUCAAAGGUUUGUAUUUAAAGUGACCUAAAAAUAGGGAGUGUAUUAGUAAGGUCAAAUCGAAAACAAGAAGUGAGGAGUGAAGAAAAGAGAAAAAAAAAGGAAGAGAAAAAUGAGAAGAGAAAGAAACAAUGAAAGAGAAAGGAGAGAGAAGAAGAAGAAGAAAGUAAGAAGAAGAUUACUAAAAAAUAACAAAAUAAUAAAAUAAAUAAAAACCUUGAAGAGAAGGAUAAAAGGAAUAAAGAAAAAAGAAAAAAGGAAAUGAAGAUAUAGAUCAGUCAGUGGUCAGUGGAGAUAAUUUGAAAGUAAUUCACCCUUUAUAUUCCCACUCCUACUAUAUUGGCUGUUCCCUUGGAUAACAUUGGUGGCGUACAGAGGGGUGGUUGGUAUGCAUGAGCGACUACUGGUCUUCCAUAAAUAACCUUGCACGGAGGGGAACCUUCUUAGUGCAAUCCCAUGGUCGUUCAUGAGGUAAGGGUCUCUUUAAUCUUUACCCAUAACAGUAAUAACUAAACAGUGUAUUGUGCGUUUUAUUGUGUUUAUGUCAUGCACAGUAUUUCCAGGAACUUGAUACAAACUGUUUGUAGUACAAAGAUGAUUGUGAACUACUCACUUACGGCAUGAUUCACUGAUGUGAAAGACACUAGCAGAACACCUAAGUUUAGAGAUGCCAAAGCGAAGUGUUUGAUACUAUUAUAAUAUUUGUGUGACUGUGGUUAGAAUAUUGUCGAGAUCCAAAGUCUAAAGAUAGCCUAUUCAUUCAAAAUGUGUAUUGUGUAUUUGUGUGCGUUGAUGAGUGCGUAUAUAUAUAUUAUAGAAAUUAUAUGUAUAUAUAUAUACAUAUAUAUAUAUAUAUAUAUAUAUAUAUAUAUAUACGUGUAUAUAAACGUAUGUGUGUGAGUGUGUGUGUGUACACAUAUAGAAUGAGAAUACAUGAGUAUAUGUGCUUGUGUGUUUGUGUGUGUUUAUGAGAGAUUUCCAUGAGUUUAAGAGUACGUUUUACACGUAUACAUACUAGAAUAGGGCCAGAUUUUGUGCUACAAAUCUUAUAAGAUUUCAGACAGAAGUUGUAUUGUAUACAUACAAUUCCCUUGCAUACAAACAAAUAUGAGCUGCAUUGAAGUAUUUAUAUAAAUAUCGGGGAAUAAUUAUGUGAUACACUCUGUGAAUACAUAUAACUAAUAUGGAACACAAGCGUGGAAUUGGUACAUAGGAUACUUUUAAACUCAUAUAGAAAUUUGUAAGAAAUCUGUUUGUAAAAAGACGAAAAAGAUUCCAUAUCUAUGGAAUAAUAAAUAUAUGAAGGCAUUUAUCUUUUUACACUUCUGAACCAAUACACACACAUUCAUAUAUAUGCAUGUAUGUAUGUGUAUGUAUAUAUAUAUAUAUAUAUAUAUAUAUAUAUAUAUAUAUAUAUAUAUAUAUAUAUAUAUAUAUAUAUAUAUAUAUAUAUAUAUAUAUAUAUAUAUAUAUAUAUUGUAAAAGUAAUUAAGAUUCAAGUGAGUUCUGUUGAAUUCACAUGAAUGAGGUACUUAACAUAGAUGCACCAGAAAUCUAUAUGGUAUUAACCAUAAGAUAAUGCGGAGUGAUUAUAAGCAAGAAAAAAGCAACAAAAAUGGAUCAAUAUUUCGGUACAAUUGUUUCGUAUAUAUAUAUAUAUAUAUAUAUAUAUAUAUAUAUAUAUAUAUAUAUAUAUAUAUAUAUAUAUAUAUAUAUAUAUAUAUAUAUAUAUAUAUAUAUAUAUAUAUAUAUAUAUAUAUACAUAUAUAUAUACAUAUAUAUUGGUAUAUAUGUUAAUAUAUAUUCAUAUACAUACAUAGAUGCAUAGGCACUACAUACAUUUCUAUACUUAUAUCUACCUAUUCAUAUUAUAUUUAUAUAUGUAUAUGUGUGUGUACCAAUGUGUUUGUAUGUGUACGGAGAUACCCAAAAGAAACCGGAAUUUCGCAAUAUUAUUUUAUUCAAUUAGUUUUACAUGUUUAGACUUUUAUCACCUUCAACGUAUUCCCCAUUUGACACAAUGCGUCUGUCCAGCCGCGUUUUCCACUAUUCUAAGCAGUGCAGAAACUCUUGCGAAGUGAUACCUUUUAACGCAUCUGUGGGUUUUUUUCUCCACUUCUUCCAUAUUUACAAAUUCCAUAGCAUCAGCCUGCGUCACCUGUGAUGACCUUCGAAAAAAUGUCCGGAUCAAUUUCCAACUGUUCUUUCAUUUCACGACACGCAUUCAUCUGUGACUUAUUUUUGAUCUUCCAUGAGCAAACAGGCACAAAUUUUGCUGUAACUCUUUUUAUUCGCAAUUCCUCCUUCAAAAUUCUUUGGCAGAUGCUCCAGGAUGCACCAGUUAUAUCAACGAGUUCAUCAAAUUUUUGGUGAAGGUCCUCCAAGAUAAUUUCAUGAAUUCUCAUGAUGUGUUCACGAGGUCGACGAUCGUCCUGAACGAGGUUGUUCUUCAAGCGACAACUGACCAUUCCUAAACCGUUGAAACCAUUCGUAAACUUUUGUUUUGUUUAUGACAGCGUCGUUGUAAGCAGUGGGAAGCAUGACAGCCGGUUUUGACCGCCGUUUUCUUCUGCAGAAAAUAAAAUUUCACUGAAGAACGCUGUUCCUUCGUUUAAGCCAUCAGAAGAAACGAUGAAAACCAAAGUCGCACCAUGUGGCAGAGCGACCGCGCAGAAAGACGCCUGUUGGCAGGCUGAGGCCUGGCGGUUUCAUCGAGUGGCUUCCAGUGACGGAAGCAUGAACUGCAGAGGGCUUGUCCCACAAAAAUCAUUUCCAGUUACUUUUGGGUACGAUUUUAUAUCUGUGUUAAACCGAAUAAUAACGAUGAGAUUGCAGCUGGAAAUGCUCAAAUGACAUGAGGUGAAAGGAAAAAUAAAUUGAAAGGUAUAAUGAAUAAACGCUCUAAUAGGUCAAAACAACACACACACACACACACACACACACACAUACACACACACGCACAUACGUACGUAUGUAUGUAUGUAUGUAUGUAUGUAUGUAUGUAUGUAUGUGUAUAUGUAUAUAUGAAUGUAUCUAUAGGAUGUCCUAAAAAUGUAUACAAAGGUUAAAUGAUUAUAAAUAGAAUAUUUAUUAGAAUAAAUACCAUUUUCAAAUUUUAGUAGAAUUUACAGAGAGAAUUUAGUGUUUCACGAAUUCUUGCUUUAAAAAUGAUGCCUGCUUUCUCUGGUCUUGGCUGUGCUGAUAAUCUGGAAAAAUGAAAUCUCAAGUAUCAAAAAGCAUUACUUUCGAGUUUAUACGCAUUAUUUGACAAUGGUUAACCUGCAUUCGCCAAAAGUUGCCGGUCUUGUACUAUAAACAUUAUCUUUUUUAUUGGGAAUCCCCUUUAAAAAAUCUAGGGAUGUGUUCCCCCAGCUGGACGGGACGCAGCGUUACUCAUUUUUGCCAGCUGAGUGGACUGGAGCAACGUGAAAUGAAGUGUUUUGCUCAAGAACACAACGCGUCGCCCGGUCCAGGAAUCGAAACCACAAUCUUACGAUCAUGUUGCUGACACCCUAACCACUAAGCCAGGCGCCUCCACAUAAAUGUGGUUAUAGCAUUUUGGAAAGAUCAAGUUUUAAAACUAUCGCUUUUGAGUAAUAGCUUGAUGAAAUUUUGCCAUCCCGCUCGGCAAAUCACACACUUUAUUGAUGAGAAAUAACUAUGAUUACGUGGCAUUUACGUAUUCUGAAGAUUUCUUUUGACAAAAGUGUUGAUUGGUCUCGUAUCUCCACUUUACUUCUCGUAACUGGAUGGUCACGUACCUCUACAACCUUUAUACUCUAAUGACGUCUAAUCUGCGCAGCUGACUCCUCUUGUACUUCUACUACUCACAGACCUCAAACUCAAUCUCUCUUCAUUCUUGUUGCAUUCAUCCCUCCCACCACACUGACCAAUAUGCCUGCUCCCUCCUACCCAGGACCUCAGUCUACUGGAACGUUUACCUUGCUCAUGUUCUUCCUUGCAAAUUUUGGCUAGCAACAUUGUAAACUGAACAUUUAAAACGUCUAUUUAAUCAGUUUCGAAUGGCCUGAUAGUCAUGUGAGCAAUGCCCCUUUCUUUUUGACUAAGCGAUUAAAAUAACAUAAAUACAGUAAAGGAGAAUCUGUGUUCAAGGACCCUCUAAAACAAUGAUGAUGUUGGUCUAGAUAAAAAACGGAAGUAAUAUCCAGAAUAAAAGGUAAAAGGUUGCUUAUCAUAUGUUUGCUGAUCGAACAGGUCUUUGAUAACAGUGAUUCCGUCAUGAUGAGGUCAUCAUACGCAGGAACGUGUAGGUUACGUUAUUUAAAACCUGCAUCCUCUUAUCAUUACUUUAGUUAGUAGGGUAUGAAUUGGAGAAAGACAUGGCUGUUAUUUGUAGAAGUAGCAAAAACAUAAAAGUCUGACAUGUAAUAUGAAAUAUUUCCGCAAAACAUUUAUAUAGAUAUGAGUACAGAAUUAAAGCCGAAUAAUAAUAAUAAUAAUGAUAAUAAUAAUAAUAAUAAUAAUAAAAGUAAAAAUAAUAAUGAUAAUAAUAACAAUAAUAAUAAUAAUAAUAAUAAUAAUAAUAAUAAUAAUAAUAAUAUCAAAAUUAAUAAUAAUAAUAAUAAUAAUAAUAAUAAUAAUAAUAAUAAUAAUAAUAAUAAUAAUAAUAAUAAUAACAAUAAUAAUGAGAAGAAGAAGAAGAACAACAACAACAACGAUGUCAACAUCGGAUUAAAGAAAUCAAGACAAGUAGCAUUGAUCAACUUCAGCUGAGAAUAUAUAUUGUUUACAAUAUUUGACAUUUCUUCCUAAAUACAAAGAUCUCUCUUGCAGACUUUAUUCAAGAACAAAUUUCAAAGUGGCAGUAUGAGUGUUUUUUACAAAUCUCACCUGCUCACAGACACACGUGUGUGAGUGUGUGUGUGUGCGUAUACACACACAUAUAUAUAUAUAUAUAAAAACAUAUAUAAGUAAAUGAAAAAUGAAUUGUAUAUAAACGGCAGAUGGAAAACGUUCGGCAAAAAGAGACUGAUAGAAUAAUUACUAGGUUUACAAAGAAUAAUUCCUGGGGUCGAUUUGCUCGACUAAAGACGGUGCUCCAGUAUGGCCGCAUUCAAAUGACUGAAGCAAUUAAAAGAAUAAAAUAAUAUAUACACACACACAGACAUAAUUAUCGGCUACACGUCACUACAUAGAUUCCUAAACAAUGUGUCUCAGCGUGGUACAAAUUACCAAAGAGCACACACUUGCGAAUGACCUCGAAGGACUACAAAUAUCUCUGUAGUUUUCAGUACUUAGUUUUCACCAUCGUUAUGUUGGGGAAUAUUUUGAUAUACUCAAAAAUCUUGGAACUUUCGAGUAUGUUAUAUCUGUUAGUGAUGGUCACUCGACUAUUCAGUCUUUAUUAAGUAGUGGUUGAUAAAGUGAGCUCUCGCUUAGUUCACACUUACGUCUGUCAUUCUUCCGGUCGAUAUAGACAUCCUUUACAAGUAUAUCAACGGACUCAGUUAUGUGUCCGAAAAUCACUUUCUGCCUCUUAUGUAACUGUCUGGUUUCAUAAAACACUACAAACAUGCGGUCAUUACACCCCUCCCCGCCAACAAUGUACAAGCAACAAGUGUCUCUUAACAUUCAUGAGAAUAGCAAAGUGUUAUAAGGACUAAAUCUUUGGGGUGUAGAUUUGUAUAGUAUUUAGAGCGUUGGACGAAAAGAGUUGAGACAUAUUAUCAGGCUUUUUGCGUUUCAAGUUCAGAUCCCAUCAAAAUCAAAUAUGCCUUCCAUCCCUUCCAGAGUCAAAGAUUAAAAAAAUCAAUCAUUUUGAUCGACAAAAACACUCCUAAAAUAGACAAUAAUUAUGUCUAAAUCUAUCUUAUAGUCGCCAUGAUAGAUCGUUAGCCACUACAUACAUUUUUUCUCUCCUUGUUUUUUCUGUGUCCCUUUCUGUAGAAGAGCGUAGGCUCGAAACGUAAAAGAUGUUUUCUAUUCCUGAGCGUUAUACUAAUACAUCAGUUUGUUUUGUACAUCACCUGUCUCCCUCUUUUGUUUUUUUUUUUCGUAAACUCUCCCUAUAUCUUAUAGUAUAUAUACAUACUAUAAGAUAUAUUUACACUUAAAUAUAUGGUGUUUCUUUGGUAGCAUUAAAACUAUAUUUUGAGUUUUCUAUUAGGGUUUGAAUCUACUGUAACCUGAAGUAGUAUUAAACGUAUUAAAACAUAAGCUUAAUUUAGAUUAGCAUAUUUCAGAUGUUUUGUUAUCUUUUCAUAAUGAAAUAAGUUUCGAACUAAUAUCAAAGCAAUUAUACCACUUCCUUGAUAGACAAACCUUUGCAAACACAUUACUUAACCUAUCCAUAACCGAAUGGUAUCUUAAAUGCUAUUCAGACUAUCGCUGCAACAGUAGAACUCUACCAGGAAACCCACUGCUUCUAAAUCCGCUUUAUGGUCCGCUUCUAAAUCGUUCAUUUUGUUUUUUGUUGCCAAUACCCAGGCUGAACUCAACGACUUUCUACGCUGAAUAUAUCGCUCCGCAAUUCUGCUCUAGUUCCUCAUUUCACAGAAUCUUCUUCUCCCCAGUAAAUGAACAACUGCUGCUCAAAAAGCUCAUACUGAAGAUAUUUGCAUUACACCUGUACAGUUGUAUGCAUUGAUCAAUAUUAAAAGAUAUAUAAUGGCGGCGUAUAAUAAUGAUAAUAAUAAUAAUAAUAAUAAUAAUAAUAAUAAUAAUAAUAAUAAUAAUAAUAAAUGCCCUGAUGCAGUACCAGGCAGUGGCUCUCAUGGCUUCUGAUCUUAACUGAUUGGAAGUGUUAUCAUGUACAUUGUUUUGUCUUGGUAUAAAAGAUGGGCUACAGCAAAUAUUCUGCUCAAUACCACAGAUUUGCUUGUCAGUUGUUUGACCUUAACCAGUUGAGCAUGUCCCCUAGUGGCUGACGAUAUGUGCAUCUCUGAUCACGAGCAGAAGUAGUGGGGGAGCAUCAUAGCCAUGUGUUGAGAGGGAUGCUUUGGGGUUUGAAUAGUUCACCUCUGGAAACAUGGGUGGUUCUUUCAACAUCCUUAAACAACCCUUAUUCGGGGACCGUUUGAGCGGGAUGGGCUACUCAACCUGAAGAAAAUUCAAACUGGGCCCCACCUGCAAGGUCAUGUGCUGUUUAUCUUGAUAUGAGAUCACCAUGUCGCGCACAUAUGGUUGUGAUGCAUGUGCCUGGUGUACCUUUAUCAGACGGGUAGUCAUGAUGGGUAUAUUGGGCUUCGUAUAUUUUACCCCAGUGUCACUUUGAUGGCAUGAACUGCUCUCUCACUCAAUAAUAAUAAUAAUAAUAAUAAUAAUAAUAAUAAUAAUAAUUAUUAUUAUUAUUAUUAUUAUUAUUAUUAUUAUUAUUAUUAUUGUUAUUAUUAUUAUCAUUGCGAUUACUACCUUCGCCUUAGCGAAGGUGGAGGUAUUGUUUCCAGUCGUGUUUGUUUGUUUGUCUGUCGGUGGAUAAGAUAUCUCAAGAACAGCUGGAUGGAUUCGAAUGAAACUUUCAGGGAUGUUUGGCCUUGUGAUUGGCACGAACUAGUUAGAUUUGGGGGUCGAUCCCCCACCAGAGAAGUAUUCUGAAUCAUUUUUCCGGUGUUUUAACUUAAUUUAUGACAGUGUUCGUGUUCGUUUUCAGUAUUCUCGCUUGUGAGUACAGUCGAGUUUAUUUCAGAUAGUCUCAUUUCGCAUUUCUAUCGGUGCAAACAUCCAAUUCACCAGAAAAAACUUCAGGAAAAAUGUUUUUUUAAAUUAAAAAAAAAAAAUCCUCUGACGCAUUAUUUGUACUGACGGAAGAAUCAUUCACAUUUUUACAAAAAAUAUUUAUGGGGGUGGGGGUCCCAUAAGUUAAAUAGUUCCCACGAAUCUGUUCCAAAUAAAUUUUUCCUUGUACUAAGCACUCUUGUUUUACGUUGGGCUAAGUACUCUUGUUUUUCGUUGGGCUAAGCACUCUUGUUUUUCGUUGGGCUAAGCACUCUUGUUUUUCAUUGUACUAAGCACUCUUGUUAGUCCUCUUGUUUUUCGUUGUACUAAGCACUCUUGAUAACAUUCUUGUUUUUCGUUCGAACGGAUUUAGUGGGAUUUUUUAAAACCCUAGAAGAACUUUCCUCUAGCUGGUGAAAACUGCACAACUACAUCUGAUAUAUUGUGAGCAGGGAAUCGAAUCCCUACCCCAUUCUAGCGACGUGACCAACACACAGUUUGCUUCAGGCUGCAGAGCCAUUCAGUUGUAGUAUUAUGUUGUUCUUGCUUAUUCUAUAUCUUACUCCAGAAAGGUUGACUUUCAUCAGCAUCAAGAGCUAAUCUUUUACGUUUUUUACUGUCAUUAAUCUCUUGGUAAACUCUUUUUUGGUCGGUUCUAAACAAUUUUUGCUGGUAUUCUGUAACCCGUUGUUCAAACCUAGUUAGCUUCGCUUUGCUUACCAACCACAUGGUUCCGGGUUCAGUCCCACUGCGUGGCAUCUUGGGCAAGUGUCUUCUGCUAUAACCCCGAGCCGACCAAUGCCUUGUAAGUGGAUUUGGUAGACGGAAACUGAAAGAAGCCUGUCGUAUAUAUGUAUAUAUAUAUAUGUGUGUGUGUAUGUGUUUGUGUGUCUGUGUUUGUCCCCCCUAGCAUUGCUUGACAACCGAUGCUGGUGUGUUUACGUCCCCGUAUCUUGGCGGUUCGGCAAAAGAGACCGAUAGAAUAAGUACUGGGCUUACAAAAGAAUAAGUCCCGGGGUCGAGUUGCUCGAUUAAAGGCGGUGAUCCAGCAUGGCCGCAGUGAAAUGACUGAAACAAGUAAAAGAGAGAAAGAGAGUAUGUAUGUGUUGCUUCAGUUCUUCAAUUAAAACAUUCAGGCCCUUUUGUAUCUUCUUCCUAACCUUUUCGUAUUUCCUUACAUUCUUACACUCCCCAUCAUCAUCAUCAUCAUCAUCAUUAUUAUUAUUAUCAUUAUUAUUAUUAUUAUUAUUAUUAUUAUUAUUAUUAUUAUUAUUAUUAUUAUUAUUAUUAUUAUUAUUAUUGCCUUUACACAGCUUGUAACUCUGGAGAUGUACUAGAGUGUCAAAUGUUCACUACCAGUGAACUAAAGUAACACCUCUUAUUUUUCGAGUCACCUUCCGGAGUAUUCAAGCGGUUCCAAUCAGUGCUGUUUUCUGCAAUUGCUCCACCCUUACUGCAGCCCCUAUUUGCUCCACGUACUUUUCGAGAUUUUUGCUCACUGUUCCCAGGGCUCCGACAAUUAUUGAUAGUACUGCUACCUUUUUUAACAACCACAACUGCUUAACUUCCCAAGCUAACCUGUCAUAUCUGUUGACUUUUCUUUCUUCCUUAUCGCAUGCCUUGUUGUCAGCUGGGCAUGCAAUAUCUAUGAUCCAGCAUAGUUUGUUUUCUUUCUCAAUUAAGACUAUGUCCGGCUUCCUAUUCUCAAUCUCAUGUUCGCACUGAAUCAUAAAAUCCCAUAGGAUCUUUGCAUUACUAUUUUCGACAAUGCCUUCAGGUUUGUGGUCGAACCAAUUUUUUGCUCUGUCAAGUCCAUACUUGUUGCAAAGUGUCCAGUGGACAAGCCUGGCUAUAUUGUCGUCAUGUCUCUUAUAUUCCUUCUGGGCUAGUGGCGUACAUUGGCCGGUAAUAUGCCAUACAGUUUCACCGUCUUGUCUACAGAUUCUGUACUUAUCACUUUCUGCGGUGUUGUCUAUUCUGUAUUUUAUGUAGUUUGUUCUUAGUGCUUGCUCUUGGGCAGCACAGAUUAGAGCCUCCAUUUCCGGUUUUAAAUCAUUUUUAGUCAUCUACAGCCGUCUUUUUUUCUCAGUCUGUCUUAUCUUCAACAAUACUAUGAAAUUUGCAUGCAUUCUUUUCUUUAUCCACCUAUUUUCUGUUUCAUCCGUUUUCUAUUUCUUGUAUAGUGCUUAUCUUUGCAAUCUUUCAUCCUACACAAGUCUGAUCUUCCUACUUCUAAUAAUAGCGGUUCUGUGGAAUUUUUCAUAUACUAUGCUAUGUUGUAUUCUUCUGCUUUAAUGCUGUGUUUGCAUCCAAUAAGUCCUCUUCCCCCUCUUUUUCUUGGUACAUACAGUCUGUUUGUGUCACUUUUUGGGUGGAGAACCCCCGUAUCUAGUUAGCAACUUGCUUGUCUUUCUCUCUAAGCUGUUUAGUUCGUCUGCUGUCCAUGAGAUUACCCCUGCUCCAUAUCUAAGGAGUGAAAUCGCCCAGGUGUUGAUAGCUUCGAUCUUAUUCCGUCCGUUUAAUUUCGACUUAAGGAUCAGUCUUUAGUCUGCGUAAGUACUCCACCUGAAAUUUUUCUGUCAUUUAUUUCUCCAUUAAUUUAUCCAUUUCCAAAAUCCCCAAGUACUUAGCCCGUCUCUUCUAUCUGCUUCAUAAUCUCCCCCGACCGUAUCAUUAGUCCGUCCAUACAUUUGAUUUUGCCUCUUUUCAAUACGAACACACUACACUUUCUCAGUCCGAACUCCAUUCUGAUAUCAGCACUGAAGGUAUACACCGUAUCGACGAGGGAACUGACCUGGGCUUCAUCAUUACCAUAAAGUUUGAGGUCAUCCAUGAAAAGCAAAUGGUUGACUUUUUGUUGGUGACUUUUGAAUACAUACCCAGCUUUUGCUUUCCUCAGAAUCAGUGUCAGUGGCAUUAAGCACAGUAAAAAGAACAGUGGGGACAAGCUGUCCCCUUGGAAGAUGCCCCUCCAAAUUUCUACUGUCCCUAAACUUCUUCCGUAUGCUGUCAGGUCCGUCCUCCACUUCGCCCUACUUUUUCCAAGCAAUCGCUCCACAUUCGAUGCAAUCCCAAACAGGUUCAUACACUCCAUAAUCCAAGAAUGUGGAAUCCUAUCGUACGCCUUACGAUAGUCGACAGCAUGGCUAAGUUAUUUUCCUCCUCUUGCAGUCUCUGAGUACAGUUUUAUCUAUCAAGACUUGAUCUUUGGUACCUCUGCACUUACGCUUGCAAUCCCUCUGCUCAUGUGGCAGGAUUCCAUUUUUUUCUAGAUAUUUGUACAUUGACUCUUCGAGUAUUCCAGUCAAUGUCGUUGUUGUUGUUGUUGUUGUUGCUGUUGUUGUUGUUGUUAUUAUAAUUAUUUAUUCUUUUAAUCUCAGUUUUCUUUUGUAAUUCCUGAAGUCUUGUAUGCGUAGCGGGCUUGCUGCUUGCAUCCUACGGUACCAUGCGAUAUGUACUUUUCAAAUGUCUAAUUCUUUCCUCGUUGUUCUAGCUAUGUAACGGAGGCAAACCGUCUGUACUAGUUGCUCUGGGAAUUCUAAUCCGAUUUUCUUUUUAUUCCACUUAAUGCCAUUUGAUACUAUUCGCAAGAACCAGCAAUACUUAGCACUGUCUUCACCUUCAUAUAAUUGGCACUAUCUUCUUUCUUCAUACAACUGGUACUAUAUUCACCUUCUUGAUAUAAUUGGCACUAUCUUCACCUUCUUCAUGUAAUUGGCAUUAUUACUAUUAUUAUUAUUAUUAUUAUUAUUAUUAUUAUUAUUAUUAUUAUUAUUGUUGUUGUUGUUGUUGUUGUUGUUGUUAUUAUUAUUAUUAUUAUUAUCAUUAUCAUUAUUAUUAUUAUUAUUAUUGUUAUUAUUAUUAUUGUUGUUGUUGUUGUUGUUGUUAUUAACAUUAUUAUUAUUAUUAUCAUUAUCAUCAUCAUUAUUAUUAUUAUUAUUAUUAUUAUUAUUAAUAAUAAUAAUAUUCUGUAGUCUCAUUUUAUCACAUGCUUUCACUACACUACCGAGCAGUACAUAUUGAUAUUAAUAUAUUAAUGUAUCGCUGCAUUUCGUCCGUCUUAAUGUUUUGAGUUCAAAUGCCACCGAACAUGAUUUUACCUCCCGGUGUCAAUAAAAUUAGUACCAUUCGAGCACAUAGAUCAAUGUAAUAAACUUAUCCUUCUCCCGAAAUUGGUGACCUUGUGCCAAAAUUUGAACCCAAAGUGAAAGAGUCUCUAAUGAUAAAAUUAGAAGGGAUGAUUAUACUCCAUUGAUGAGGUAAUUUUUGUUGCUGCUCUUUUAUAGUUAUGCCUAAAGGCUUUGGUUUUCAGACUAUAUAUAAUUUUAAUAACGAAAUAUAUCUAGCGUUAUAUUUCGACCUCUUUUAUAUAUUCCCGUAGAACAUGUGAUUACUAAUAUAAAUUGCACGGUUAAUUGUUUCCAAAAUGACAGUAUGAUACAAAAUCAAAUAUUUUUAGAAAAUCUUAUGUAACUCUUUUCUCUAUUGCAGGUUCUCACCAGUUUGAAGAAAAUAUCCUGUACCUUGAAAUUAAAAAUGUUCCUGCGAAUAGUACAAGAAGCAAAAACGAAGAAUAUUAAUUAUAGGAACAUCUUUGAAAACAUUAACUAAGCACAAUGAAUCCAAUUGUUCUUUGCAAAAUUAUUGUACUCAUCAUUGUAUUUUUAUCGACCAUAACUGCUGGUUUGUUACCGUUUGUGAUGCUGAAAUUCUUGAAGCGAAAAGGAGAAGAACAUUCUCCAUCAUUUAAUAACGCAAAGAUAAAAAUGAUUCUCAGUUGCUUGAAUACGUUUAGUGGAGGUGUCUUUUUAAGUGCUUGCUUCAUUCAUCUGCUCCCUGAGGUGCGCAAACACAUGCAGAAAAUACUGCUGACGUUGAAUAUCAACACGAAUUUUCCAGCAACGGAAUUUAUAACUAUAUUUGGCUUUUUCAUUAUUAUAAUGAUGGAACAAUACGUUUCACUUUGCAUUAGAAAGAAUGAUAAACACUCAAAAAACAAUCAGGAUCUUGAUGAAAGCGAAACUGGAUCUGGAAGCAGUAUAAACGGGAAAAAAGCAGCCUUAUACCUACCCGUAGAAGAAUCGGAUGACACAAAUCGACUUGUUUCUCGUCGACUUUCCGUUUCUAGUGUUCAUUCUGUAGAAUCCAUGAGAAGUGAAAUUCUCAAGCGGGUAGAUGUGGACACGCACAAUCAUGUGCAUUUCUCAAACGAAGAGAAAGAAUCUAGUUUACGUUCAGUACUGUUGUUACUAGCCUUGUCACUUCAUACAAUUUUUGACGGAUUAACCGUCGGUUUGGAAAAGACAGUCAAUAACGUCUGGUCGAUGUUUACUGCAGUAAUUAUUCAUAAAAUAUUAAUUGGUUUCACACUUGGUCUGCAAAUGUUUGAAAAUGCUCAGUGGUCAGUGAGACGGACGAUUUUUCUAAUGUUUAUUUUCUCUGUGAUUUCCCCCAUAGGUAUUGUGAUAGGUAUUUUAAUAGAAGACCUAAAUGUUCAGAGCGUUUCUGAACACUUUGUGUCCGCACUCCUUAAAGCGUUGGCAACAGGUACGUUCAUGUACGUAACAUUUUUUGAGAUUCUGGGACGAGAGAUUUCUCAUGAUGCAACACCAUUGCAAAUAUUAUUUGCUAUCAUCGGUUUUGGUAUGAUGACAGAACUUGCAUUUUUUGAUUAAGUUCAAGCAAUCAAGGACAUGGUGACGUAAUAUGAAACGAAAGCACUCAAAGGACGCAAACCUUCGUCAAAGCAACACCAACGUCCUCUCAACGAUUAAUUGGAGAUGAUUUUUAAAAUGAAAAUAUCUGAAAUAACAUCGAAUGCUCUCACAAACGAGAAUACUAAAAAUGAACCCGACUGCUUUCAUAUACGAGAAUACUAAAAAUGAAUCCGACUGCUCUCAAAUAUUAAGUGAAAGGACAGGAAAAAUAAUCCAGAAUCCCUGUCCGGUACGGGAUCGAUCCCAACAUCUAAUCACUUGGUGCCAAUCACGAGGCCAAACAUCCCUGAAAGUUUUAUCCGAAUCCAUCCAGCAGUUCCUGAGAUAUCUUGUCCACGGACAGACAAACAAACAAACACGACAGAAACAAUGCCUCCACCGUAAAUAAGGGGGAGGUAAUAACUACUUUUCCACUGAUGGAUUAGUUUAUUUUUAGAAUCGGACAAAAUACUUGCAAGAUUUAUUUCGGUUUCUUACGUUACAUUUUCAUAUACUGAGAACAUCAACUUCACGUUUCGUCAUUCCGGGAUUCAUAAACUAUUGUCAAGUAUAUUUUCACUGGAUUAAUGCAUCAUACACCAGUCUUCCAAUUCCAAUGUCUGUAGAUGUGUAAAAAGCAAUUAUUUAAUAAUUAUUAUUCAACGGUCUUAGUUUUGAGCGCUUUCACAAAUGAACAUAACUCUGUCUUUGGUACAACAUUCAUAUACAUAUUUACACACAUAGACACGCGUGCAGAUGUGUGUGUGUGUGUGUGUGUGUGUGUGUGUGUGUGUGUGUGUGUGUGUCUAUGUGUGUAAGAUAUAACAAUCAGAUUAAAGUAUCAAGCAGAACCCACUGUAAGCAUUCUAAUCGAGGACUAGGCUGCCAGGUGCCAAAUAUAAUUGAAUUCCAAAGUAAGUUAAGUAGGAGAAAAUCAUGUGUAUAUACGUAUAAUAAUAUUUCCAUUGUGAAGCAUAUUAUAAGCAAAUUAAAGGAAUCGUGUAUAAAGCGUUUUAAUAUGAACUUAUCUAUCUGUGUGAAAUUCUCUGGAGUACAAUUAGUUCAUGAAUUUGCUGAAAAUUCAUAAUGCUGACGUAAAUUGGGUCAAAGCCACG